GUCGGUAAAAGGUUUGCCUAAUUUUAACAAAAGUUCAAACUAAAAGUAUGUGAGAGUUUGUCAGGGGACCAUCAGGUGGCAGCAUUGUCUUUCUAGCAGUUUUAAAAAGAAUGUGUGCGUAAUUAUUUAAUUAAUGUGGAGGCAUUUGUCAUUCCCUGCUAGAAAAUAUGAAUGGUCCCGAAGUCAACUGAAUACACCGAACAGCCAACUACACACCUUAGAAAACAAUGAGAAAGUGUUUUGAUGUCUGUUUAUGUAGUGAUUUUUGGUACGGUUAUAUAGUGCAGCCGAAAUAGCUCAGUUGGGAGAGCGUUAGACUGAAGAUCUAAAGGUCCCUGGUUCGAUCCCGGGUUUCGGCAGGUGUUGUUUUUGCGAGAGUUGUAAAUCUAAAUUUGGCCUGAAAAACGGAGACUUGAAGGUUUGAAUCCCAGGAUCAAAGGGAAGUGAUUGUAGUGAGAUUAUCGUUUGGACAAAGAUCGUCUUCUCCUCAACUCCUCCAUCUGAGGCGAGAGAGGACCCAGAAAAGAGGACGCAGGACUGAGCAAAUGUUUAUCGAAGGAAGAAUGAUUACUGGGUAACUCUGUUGACAUUAACCAAAUUGGAACUAAGGGAACCAUGAAGAGGAGCUUGGAGUGGGCAAGGAGGAGGCUGAUAAAGCAGCAGAGAAGACCUGAUUCAUCGAGUAUCAAUUCAUUCUGGUGAUUCUUACCUGGUUGGCAUGCAUGCACAACACAAGACACUUCAAUCUGACACUCUUGUUAAUGUUUGACGUCAGGCAAAAUGUCUUCAGCCACUUUCGGACGGAGAGCAGCUGGUUGGCAUGUGACUGCAGUGUCUGUGGGUGUACCAGGAAAGGACGUUAGAAGUUAGGGCCCCAUGAUAUCGAAGCUUCUUACCGUCUCCACUGCAGCCCAGUCGAUAUCGAUAAAAAAAAACUGGAACAAUAGAUUGUGUAGCACAAUGUACAACUCCAGUUUGCCUAUUGUCCCAACAAAUGUCAAUUAUACAUUUUUACAUACGUCAGAGUGCAGUUUAUUUUAUAGCUCUGCUUUCAACGCCAUCCUUACCCACAAACUGGUUAGCAGACUCAGGGCUCUGG